AUUGAACGCUGGCGGCAGGCCUAACACAUGCAAGUCGAACGAGUGGCGGACGGGUGAGUAAUGUCUGGGAAACUGCCCGAUGGAGGGGGAUAACUACUGGAAACGGUAGCUCAUACCGCAUACCAUCUGAUGUGCCCACAGGGGAUUAGCUAGUAGGGGGGGUAACGGCUCACCUAGGCGACGAGCCCUAGCUGGUCUGAGAGACUGACCAGCCAAGCUGGAACUGAGACACGGUCAAGACUCCGACGGGAGGCAGCAGUGGGGAAUAUUGCACAAUGGGCGCAAGCCUGAUGCAGCCAUGCCGCGGGUAUGAAGAAGGCCUUCGGGUUGUAAAGUACGUGCAGCGAGGAGGCGUUACUCGCAGAAGAAGCACCGGCUAACUCCGUGCCAGCCGCCGCGGUAAUAC
rnacentral:rRNA from 1 species